CAGAGAUGCUGCCCUCCAACAACAGAGGUGCUCCCUGAAAGUGAUGGUGAUGAAGGUGCUCCUGGAGGUGAUGAUGAAAGAGGUGUUCCCUGGAGGUAAUGGAGGUGCUCUCUGGAGGUGACGGUUAAGGAAGUGCUCCUGGAGGUGAUGAUGAAAGAGAUGCUCCCUGGAGGUGAUGGAGGUGCUCCCUAGAGGUGACGGUGAUGGAGCUGCUCCCUGGAGGUGACAGCUAAGGAGGUACUCCUGGAGGUGAUGGUGAAGGAGGUGCUCCUGGAGGUGACAGUGAAGGAGGUGCUCCCUGGAGGUGAUGGUGACGGGGGUGCUUCUGGAGGUGAUGGUGAUUGAGGUGCUCCUGGAUGUGAUGGUGAUGGAGGUGUGGAGGUGCUCCCUGGAGGUGAUGGAAGUGCUCCUGGAGGCGACGGUGAAGGAGGUGCUCCCUGGAGGUGAUGGAGGUGCUCCUGGAGGUGAUGGAGGUGAUGGUGAAGGAGGUGCUCUCUGGAGGUGAUAGUGAUGGAGGUGCUUCCUGGAGGUGGUGGUGAAUACGGUGCUCCCUAGAGGUGACAGUGAAGGAGGUGCUCCCUGGAGAAGCCGAAGGCAGGCCUUGUCCCUCUAGCUACUUGGAGCCCCUAACACUGUCCUCAGUGCCGAUGCUUUUGGUUGCUACCGGGCACUUUCUUUAGGACACAGGCUGAGGAGGGACAGGGAUGGUGUCCCAGCAGCGUGAGCAUCUCCCAGUAGCAAAGGUGACAAACCAUUUCAGCUGGAGACGGAGAUGAAGCUGCAUAUUUAAGGCCAAGGAGUCUGUGCUGUGUCGGGGGCACUCGCCCCUGCUGAGGAGCCACUGCUGAACCUGGGGCUUAGAGAUGAGCCCUGAACCCAGCUCCAAAGUCUGCAGGCUCCACGUGCUGCUGGGCCCCCAACAAUGACAGGGCAGGAGCUUGGCUAUAGCCGCUCAACGAGUGUGCGUGGCCUGGGACCAUUCUAACAAACCAGGGGCUUAAAACAACAGAGGGUGCAUCUCAUGGUUCUGGAAGCCGGCAUCUGAGGUCAAGGCGUCCGUGAGGCCAUGCCCCUCCAAGGUGUGGAAGGCUCUUGGGGACCUCUCCUCACCUCACGACCCUCCCUGCAUGCCUCACCUGCAGACGCCUCACUCCACUCUCUGCCUCUGUCACAUGGCCUCCAUCCAAGGACCUGAAGCAGUGAUUGGGGCCCCCAACUCCAGGAUGACUUCAUCUGAGCCCAAAUCCAUCUGCAAAGACCCUCCUCCCAAACAGGGCGGCCCUUGUGGGGCCUGGGUUGGACUCAACCCUUCUUUUUGGAGACAAAAUUCAACCCCAAACACUAGACCGGUGGGAUUCCUACAACAACCCCAUCCGGGAAAGGCCAUGCCCUGCCCAGGGCCGAGAGCCAGCUCAGACUGGCCUCCAGCAAGGGCUGGACACAUGGCUCUCACAUCACCUCUAGUCCAAAACACGUGCUCCUUUCCCUCCAGCCAUUCCCUGGAAUCACCCCCCACCGCCCCCCACAGCUGUGACUCAGCUGUGAAGCCAGCAUGGCUCAGGAGGGGAGGGGAAAGAUGAGGAGGGGAGGGGAAAGAUGAGGAGGGGAGGGGAAAGAUGAGGAGGGGAGGGGAGGAAAGGAGAGGGGAGA
rnacentral:lncRNA from 10 species